rnacentral:rRNA from 1 species
UGGGGAAUAUUGGACAAUGGGCGCAAGCCUGAUCCAGCCAUGCCGCGUGAGUGAUGAAGGCCUUAGGGUUGUAAAGCUCUUUCGUCAGGGAAGAUAAUGACGGUACCUGAAGAAGAAGCCCCGGCUAACUUCGUGCCAGCAGCCGCGGUAAUACGAAGGGGGCUAGCGUUGCUCGGAAUCACUGGGCGUAAAGCGCACGUAGGCGGCUUUCUAAGUCAGGGGUGAAAUCCCGGGGCUCAACCCGGGAACUGCCUUUGAUACUGGAGAGCUUGAGUUCGGGAGAGGUGAGUGGAACUGCGAGUGUAGAGGUGAAAUUCGUAGAUAUUCGCAAGAACACCAGUGGCGAAGGCGGCUCACUGGCCCGAUACUGACGCUGAGGUGCGAAAGCGUGGGGAGCAAACAGG